CCUACGGGUGGCAGCAGUGGGGAAUAUUGGACAAUGGGGGGAACCCUGAUCCAGCCAUGCCGCGUGUGUGAAGAAGGCCCUCGGGUUGUAAAGCACUUUCAGUGAGGAAGAACGCCUGGUGGUUAAUACCCAUCAGGAAAGACAUCACUCACAGAAGAAGCACCGGCUAACUCCGUGUCAGCAGCCGCGGUAAUACGGAGGGUGCGAGCGUUAAUCGGAAUUACUGGGCGUAAAGCGCGCGUAGGUGGCUUGAUAAGCCGGUUGUGAAAGCCCCGGGCUCAACCUGGGAACGGCAUCCGGAACUGUCAAGCUAGAGUGCAGGAGAGGAAGGUAGAAUUCCCGGUGUAGCGGUGAAAUGCGUAGAGAUCGGGAGGAAUACCAGUGGCGAAGGCGGCCUUCUGGACUGACACUGACACUGAGGUGCGAAAGCGUGGGUAGCAAACAGGAUUAGAUACCCUGGUAGUC
rnacentral:rRNA from 1 species